rnacentral:rRNA from 1 species
AGUCGAGCGGUAACAGGGGAGCUUGCUCCUGCUGACGAGCGGCGGACGGGUGAGUAACGCGUAGGAAUCUGCCUAGUAGAGGGGGACAACAUGUGGAAACGCAUGCUAAUACCGCAUACGCCCUACGGGGGAAAGGAGGGGACUCUUCGGAGCCUUCCGCUAUUAGAUGAGCCUGCGUAAGAUUAGCUAGUUGGUAGGGUAAAGGCCUACCAAGGCGACGAUCUUUAACUGGUCUGAGAGGAUGACCAGUCACACUGGGACUGAGACACGGCCCAGACUCCUACGGGAGGCAGCAGUGGGGAAUAUUGGACAAUGGGCGGAAGCCUGAUCCAGCCAUGCCGCGUGUGUGAAGAAGGCCUUAGGGUUGUAAAGCACUUUCAGGGGUGAGGAAGGGUAGCUAGUUAAUACCUAGUUAUCUUGACGUUAGCCCCAGAAGAAGCACCGGCUAACUCUGUGCCAGCAGCCGCGGUAAUACAGAGGGUGCAAGCGUUAAUCGGAAUUACUGGGCGUAAAGCGCGCGUAGGUGGUUUGUUAAGUCGGAUGUGAAAUCCCAGGGCUCAACCUUGGAAUGGCACCCGAUACUGGCAGGCUAGAGUAUGGUAGAGGGGUGUG